rnacentral:RNase_P_RNA from 1 species
AAGAGCAGGAGUAGGUAGUUGCGGACUUGUAGCCACAGGUCUGAGGAAAGUCCGGACUCUCGAAAGACCAGACUUGCUGGGUAACGCCCAGUGCGGGUGACCGUGAGGAGAGUGCCACAGAAAUAUACCGCCGAUGGCACCUUGGGGAGUGUGAUAACCCCUCAAGGUAUACAGGUAAGGGUGCAAAGGUGCGGUAAGAGCGCACCAGCAACGUCGAGAGGCGUUGCUCGGUAAACCCCGGUCGAGAGCAAGGCAAUGAGAACAAUGGUUGGUCUUUUCCCUGUUCUUGCUUGAGAAGCCGCUAGAGGCGUUCUGGUAACAGGCGUCCCAGAUAGAUAACUACCCCUCGACGGACAGUCGCAUUGUUUUGCUCUUGAUCCGUCGAGAGAACAGAACCCGGCUUACCGCCUGCUCUUUUCU